GACGAACGCUGGCGGCGUGCUUAAUACAUGCAAGUCGAACAGUGGCGAACGGGUGAGUAACACGGGAGUAACAUGCCCUCCACAUUGGGAUAACUCCGAGAAAUCGGGGCUAAUACUGGAUAGUGGGGGAUGGGCUCGCGUCCAAUAAGUGUGUUGGUGAGGUAGUGGUCACCAAGGCGUGACGUGUAGCCGGCCGGAGAGGGCGACCGACCACACUGGGCCUGAGACACGGAGCAGACUCCUAUGGGAGGCAGAGGUGGAAAAUAUUGCACAAUGAGCGAGCGCCUGAUGCAGCGACGCCGCGUGGGGAAUGCCGGCCUUCGGGUUGUAACCCUGUUUCAGCAAGGAAGCGGUACUUGCCGAAGAAGCGCCGGCUAACUACGUGCCAGCAGCCGCGGUAAUAC
rnacentral:rRNA from 1 species